GACGAACGCUGGCGGUGUGCUUCACACAUGCAAGUCGAACGAGGUAGCAAUACCUAGUGGCGGACGGGUGAGUAACGCGUGGGAAUCUGCCUUUAGAUGGGGGAUAACGGGUCGAAAGACUCGCUAAUACCGCAUAUGACGAAAGUUGAAAGGAGUAAUCCGUCUAAAGAUGAGCCCGCGUCCGAUUAGCUAGUUGGUAGAGUAAAAGCCUACCAAGGCGACGAUCGGUAGCUGGUCUGAGAGGAUGAUCAGCCACAAUGGGACUGAGACACGGCCCAUACUCCUACGGGAGGCAGCAGUGGGGAAUUUUACGCAAUGGGCGAAAGCCUGACGUAGCGACACCGCGUGAGCGAAGAAGCCCCUUGGGGUGUAAAGCUCUGUCAGCUGGAACGAAAAAAUGACGGUACCAGCAGAGGAAGCAAUCGGCUAACUACGUGCCAGCAGCCGCGGUAAU
rnacentral:rRNA from 1 species